ensembl:snoRNA SNORA70 Small nucleolar RNA SNORA70
CUGUAGUCAGUUAAGCCGACUGUGCUCUCAAGGGCCCAGUGUGCCAUGACUGCAAAUAGUAGUGUCCUUGGUAGUGUAUACAGCCUGUUGAUUGUAUGGGUUGCCCUAAGGGACCUUGGAGACAGCC